rnacentral:rRNA from 1 species
UAAGCGACUAAGCGUACACGGUGGAUGCCCUGGCAGUCAGAGGCGAUGAAGGACGUGCUAAUCUGCGAUAAGCGUCGGUAAGGUGAUAUGAACCGUUAUAACCGGCGAUUUCCGAAUGGGGAAACCCAGUGUGUUUCGACACACUAUCAUUAACUGAAUCCAUAGGUUAAUGAGGCGAACCGGGGGAACGUGAAACAUCUAAGUACCCCGAGGAAAAGAAAUCAACCGAGAUUCCCCCAGUAGCGGCGAGCGAACGGGGAGGAGCCCAGAGCCUGAAUCAGUGUGUGUGUUAGUGGAAGCGUCUGGAAAGGCGCGCGAUACAGGGUGACAGCCCCGUACACAAAAAUGCACAUGCUGUGAGCUCGAUGAGUAGGGCGGGACACGUGGUAUCCUGUCUGAAUAUGGGGGGACCAUCCUCCAAGGCUAAAUACUCCUGACUGACCGAUAGUGAACCAGUACCGUGAGGGAAAGGCGAAAAGAACCCCGGCGAGGGGAGUGAAAAAGAACCUGAAACCGUGUACGUACAAGCAGUGGGAGCCUCUUUAUGGGGUGACUGCGUACCUUUUGUAUAAUGGGUCAGCGACUUAUAUUCUGUAGCAAGGUUAACCGAAUAGGGGAGCCGAAGGGAAACCGAGUCUUAACUGGGCGUUAAGUUGCAGGGUAUAGACCCGAAACCCGGUGAUCUAGCCAUGGGCAGGUUGAAGGUUGGGUAACACUAACUGGAGGACCGAACCGACUAAUGUUGAAAAAUUAGCGGAUGACUUGUGGCUGGGGGUGAAAGGCCAAUCAAACCGGGAGAUAGCUAGUUCUCCCCGAAAGCUAUUUAGGUAGCGCCUCGUGAACUCAUCUCCGGGGGUAGAGCACUGUUUCGGCAAGGGGGUCAUCCCGACUUACCAACCCGAUGCAAACUGCGAAUACCGGAGAAUGUUAUCACGGGAGACACACGGCGGGUGCUAACGUCCGUCGUGAAGAGGGAAACAACCCAGACCGCCAGCUAAGGUCCCAAAGUCAUGGUUAAGUGGGAAACGAUGUGGGAAGGCCCAGACAGCCAGGAUGUUGGCUUAGAAGCAGCCAUCAUUUAAAGAAAGCGUAAUAGCUCACUGGUCGAGUCGGCCUGCGCGGAAGAUGUAACGGGGCUAAACCAUGCACCGAAGCUGCGGCAGCGACGCUUAUGCGUUGUUGGGUAGGGGAGCGUUCUGUAAGCCUGUGAAGGUGUGCUGUGAGGCAUGCUGGAGGUAUCAGAAGUGCGAAUGCUGACAUAAGUAACGAUAAAGCGGGUGAAAAGCCCGCUCGCCGGAAGACCAAGGGUUCCUGUCCAACGUUAAUCGGGGCAGGGUGAGUCGACCCCUAAGGCGAGGCCGAAAGGCGUAGUCGAUGGGAAACAGGUUAAUAUUCCUGUACUUGGUGUUACUGCGAAGGGGGGACGGAGAAGGCUAUGUUGGCCGGGCGACGGUUGUCCCGGUUUAAGCGUGUAGGCUGGUUUUCCAGGCAAAUCCGGAAAAUCAAGGCUGAGGCGUGAUGACGAGGCACUACGGUGCUGAAGCAACAAAUGCCCUGCUUCCAGGAAAAGCCUCUAAGCAUCAGGUAACAUCAAAUCGUACCCCAAACCGACACAGGUGGUCAGGUAGAGAAUACCAAGGCGCUUGAGAGAACUCGGGUGAAGGAACUAGGCAAAAUGGUGCCGUAACUUCGGGAGAAGGCACGCUGAUAUGUAGGUGAAGUCCCUCGCGGAUGGAGCUGAAAUCAGUCGAAGAUACCAGCUGGCUGCAACUGUUUAUUAAAAACACAGCACUGUGCAAACACGAAAGUGGACGUAUACGGUGUGACGCCUGCCCGGUGCCGGAAGGUUAAUUGAUGGGGUCAGCGCAAGCGAAGCUCUUGAUCGAAGCCCCGGUAAACGGCGGCCGUAACUAUAACGGUCCUAAGGUAGCGAAAUUCCUUAGUCGGGUAAUUCCGACCUGCACGAAUGGCGUAAUGAUGGCCAGGCUGUCUCCACCCGAGACUCAGUGAAAUUGAACUCGCUGUGAAGAUGCAGUGUACCCGCGGCAAGACGGAAAGACCCCGUGAACCUUUACUAUAGCUUGACACUGAACAUUGAGCCUUGAUGUGUAGGAUAGGUGGGAGGCUUAGAAGUGUGGACGCCAGUCUGCAUGGAGCCGACCUUGAAAUACCACCCUUUAAUGUUUGAUGUUCUAACGUUGACCCGUAAUCCGGGUUGCGGACAGUGUCUGGUGGGUAGUUUGACUGGGGCGGUCUCCUCCUAAAGAGUAACGGAGGAGCACGAAGGUUGGCUAAUCCUGGUCGGACAUCAGGAGGUUAGUGCAAUGGCAUAAGCCAGCUUGACUGCGAGCGUGACGGCGCGAGCAGGUGCGAAAGCAGGUCAUAGUGAUCCGGUGGUUCUGAAUGGAAGGGCCAUCGCUCAACGGAUAAAAGGUACUCCGGGGAUAACAGGCUGAUACCGCCCAAGAGUUCAUAUCGACGGCGGUGUUUGGCACCUCGAUGUCGGCUCAUCACAUCCUGGGGCUGAAGUAGGUCCCAAGGGUAUGGCUGUUCGCCAUUUAAAGUGGUACGCGAGCUGGGUUUAGAACGUCGUGAGACAGUUCGGUCCCUAUCUGCCGUGGGCGCUGGAGAACUGAGGGGGGCUGCUCCUAGUACGAGAGGACCGGAGUGGACGCAUCACUGGUGUUCGGGUUGUCAUGCCAAUGGCACUGCCCGGUAGCUAAAUGCGGAAGAGAUAAGUGCUGAAAGCAUCUAAGCACGAAACUUGCCCCGAGAUGAGUUCUCCCUGACUCCUUGAGAGUCCUGAAGGAACGUUGAAGACGACGACGUUGAUAGGCCGGGUGUGUAAGCGCAGCGAUGCGUUGAGCUAACCGGUACUAAUGAACCGUGAGGCUUAACCU